GACGAACGCUGGCGGCGUGCCUAAUACAUGCAAGUAGAACGCUGAAGGAGGAGCUUGCUUCUCCGGAUGAGUUGCGAACGGGUGAGUAACGCGUAGGUAACCUGCCUGGUAGCGGGGGAUAACUAUUGGAAACGAAAGCUAAUACCGCAUAAGAGUAGAUGUCGCAUGACAUUUGCUUAAAAGGUGCAACUGCACCACUACCAGAUGGACCUGCGUUGUAUUAGCUAGUUGGUGAGGUAACGGCUCACCAAGGCAACGAUACAUAGCCGACCUGAGAGGGUGAUCGGCCACACUGGGACUGAGACACGGCCCAGACUCCUACGGGAGGCAGCAGUAAGGAAUCUUCGGCAAUGGACGGAAGUCUGACCGAGCAACGCCGCGUGAGUGAAGAAGGUUUUCGGAUCGUAAAGCUCUGUUGUAAGAGAAGAACGAGUGUGAGAGUGGAAAGUUCACACUGUGACGGUAUCUUACCAGAAAGGGACGGCUAACUACGUG
rnacentral:rRNA from 1 species